ACGGGUGAGGAACACGUAGGAAUCUACCCUCGAGCGGGGGAUAACUAAGGGAAACUUUAGCUAAUACCGCAUAAACUCGAGAGAGCAAAGCUGCAGCAAUGUGGCACUCGAGGAGGAGCCUGCGUCCGAUUAGCUAGUUGGUGAGGUAAUAGCUCACCAAGGCAAUGAUCGGUAACUGGUCUGAGAGGACGACCAGUCACACUGGGACUGAGACACGGCCCAGACUCCUACGGGAGGCAGCAGUGGGGAAUAUUGGACAAUGGGGGCAACCCUGAUCCAGCGAUGCCGCGUGAGUGAAGAAGGCCUUCGGGUCGUAAAGCUCUUUAGGUUGGGAAGAAGGUUGUAGGAGGAAAUGCUUACAACUUGACGGUACCGACAGAAUAAGCACCGGCAAACUCUGUGCCAGCAGCCGCGGUAAUACAGAGGGUGCGAGCGUUAAUCGGAUUUACUGGGCGUAAAGGGCGCGUAGGCGGUUUAGUGAGUGUGAUGUGAAAGCCCUGGGCUUAACCUGGGAAGUGCAUCACAAACGACUGAACUGGAGUAUAUGAGAGGGUGGCGGAAUUUCCGGUGUAGCGG
rnacentral:rRNA from 1 species